rnacentral:rRNA from 1 species
GACGAACGCUGGCGGCGUGCCUAACACAUGCAAGUCGAGCGAUGAAACCCUUCGGGGUGGAUUAGCGGCGGACGGGUGAGUAACACGUGGGUAACCUACCUCAAAGAGGGGGAUAGCCUCCCGAAAGGGAGAUUAAUACCGCAUAACAUUAGUUUUUCGCAUGGAGAACUAAUUAAAGGAGUAAUCCGCUUUGAGAUGGACCCGCGGCGCAUUAGCUAGUUGGUGAGGUAAAGGCUCACCAAGGCGACGAUGCGUAGCCGACCUGAGAGGGUGAUCGGCCACAUUGGAACUGAGACACGGUCCAGACUCCUACGGGAGGCAGCAGUGGGGAAUAUUGUACAAUGGGCGAAAGCCUGAUGCAGCAACGCCGCGUGAGUGAUGAAGGCCUUCGGGUUGUAAAGCUCUGUCUUUUGGGACGAUAAUGACGGUACCAAAGGAGGAAGCCACGGCUAACUACGUGCCAGCAGCCGCCGUAACAC